rnacentral:lncRNA from 1 species
AUGGGGCGGAGGGGGAGCGGAGGCGGCUGGGCCCGGCCCGGGAGCGCUCGCCUGCUCUCCCUGGCGGUGCCCUGUGCCCGCAGCUGCGGCGCCCGGAGCCCGCGAUCUGCCGCCAGGCGCAGAAGUUCCGCGGUCCACGUGCGGCCGAGACGCGUUUGUUUAUGGCGGACCCGCCUUCGGGCGGAGCGCUCGGGCGCCGCGGCCCGGGGAAGUGGGGAGGGGGGGCGGAAAGAGGCGGGGAGGAGGGACCGCGGCGGGGGCGGGGGCGGCCAACCUCGCCUCCAGACCCCGCCGCGGCCCCGGAGUCACAGGCGCGCCUCCGCCUCCAGGGACUCUCCCGGGAGAGACCCGCGCGCUCCGGGCCUCGAGGAAGUGGCGGUGGGAAAGCAUGGACUUACACCCCACGCUUCUCAUAAAUGGAAGAGCCUUGGUCUCUACCCCACAGGUGGUCAUGAGGAUGGAACAUCUCCCUGGACAAAAGCCAGCAGCGGUAGGAUGCUGAUUCCCUUUAGGAUGGACUGGUUGGAUCUCCUUGCAGUCCAAGGGACUCUCAAGAGUCUUCUCCAACGCCACAGUUCAAAAGCAUCAAUUCUUCGGGCGAUUGGAAAAUGCCACCCGCCUCAAGAUAUGUUGACAUCUUAGUCCCUUGAACCUGUGAAUGAGACCGUGUUUGGUAAAAGGACUUUGCAGGUGUAAGUUGAGCAUCUUGAGAGGAGACCAUCAUCCUGGAUCAUCCAGUUCAGUUCAGUUCAGUUCAGUCCCUCAGUCGUGCCCAACUCUUUGUGACCCCAUGGACUGCAGCACGCCAGGCCUCCCUGUCCAUCACCAACUCCCAGAGUUUACUCAAACUCAUGUCCAUUGAGUCGGUGAUGCCAUCCAACCACCUCAUCCUCUGGGACAAAUCAUCCCUUUCUCCUCCUGUCUUCAAUCUUUCCCAGCGUCAGGGUCUUUUCAAAUGAGUCGACUCUUUGCAUUAGGCGACCAGAGUAUUGGAGCCUUAGUUUCAGCAUCAGUCCUUCCAAUGAACAUCCAGAACUGAUCUCCUUUAGGAUGGACUGGUUGGAUCUCCUUGCAGUCCAGGGGACUCUCAAGAGUCUUCUCCAACACCACAGUUCAAAAGCAUCAAUUCUUCUGCACUCAGCUUUCUUUAUGGUCCAAAUCUCACAUCCAUAAAUGACCAAUGGAAAGACCAUAGCCUUGACUAGACAAGCCUUUGUUGGCAAAGUAAUGUCUCUGCUUUUUAAUAUGCUGACUAGGUUGGUCAUAACUUUCCUUCCAAGGAGUAAGCAUCUUUUAAUUUCACGGCUGCAGUCACCAUCUGCAGUGAUCAUCCAGGUGGCCCCUAAAUGCCAUCACGAGGGUCCUUAUGGGAUAGAGGCAGAGGGGGCAGGCAUAUGCACAGAGGGAGCGAUGAUGGGAAGAUGGGGGCAUAGACAGAGGGAUGCGUCCACAGCCAAGGAGGCCGAGGAGGGCCAGUCCUCACUGGAGGCUUGAAGAGGAGGAGAGCUUCUCCCUGGGGAUCCUGGGAGGGAGCACAACCCUGCCAGGGCCUUGACCUCUGACCUCUGGUCUCCAGAACUGUGAGCGAAUAAAUUUUGGUUGUUUGAAGCCAUUCAGUGUGUGGUCCUUUGUUACAAUUUGUCACAUCCUAGGAAACGGAUAUAGAUAACUAUGCCUCAAACACCCAGUUCCGGAAACGGAUGAGAUCAGGAUAUAAACAAACAUCUACCCAGUUUGUUCCAAGUUGUUUUCAUUGUUGUUUGGUCGCUAAGUCGUGUCCCAAUCUUUGCUACCCCAUGGAAUGUAGCCCGCCAGGCUCCUCUGUCCCUGGGGAUUCUCCAGGCAAGAGAACUGGAGUGGGUUGCCAUUUCCUCCUCUGGGGAUCUUCCCCAGCCAGGGAUCAAACCCAGGUCAAACUGGGUUGGUGUAGUUUAUAUCCCAGGGUACAGCUCCUCACCGCUGUGCUGAGGGGUGCUGGUUUGCUGGGGCAAGCCUUGUCCUGGUGCCCUAGAAAACAGAGCCUGCAGCAAAGCUUGUGUGUGAAUACUUUUCUGGGGAAGUAGGGAUGGUAGUACAAUCCCAGGGAAGCCAUAGUGAAGGAGAAGGGGAGUGAGGCCAAAAGGGAGAGGAGAAGCACAGGUGGGUCAUUACCCAGCUGGCCACAGCUUGAAGUUGUGUUUAACCACUGC